AUUGAACGCUGGCGGCAGGCCUAACACAUGCAAGUCGAGCGAGCGGCGGACGGGUGAGUAAUGUCUGGGAAACUGCCUGAGGGAGGGGGAUAACUACUGGAAACGGUAGCUAAUACCGCAUACAAUCAGAUGUGCCCAUAUGGGCUUAUCUAUUAGGUGAGGUAACGGCUCACAUAGGCGACGAGCCCUAGCUGGUCUGAGAGGAUGACCCGCCACAAUGGGACUGGGACACGGACCAGAAUCCUACGGGAGGCAGCAAUGGGGAAUAUUGCACAAUGGGCGCAAGCCUGAUGCAGCCAUGCCGCGUGUGUGAAGAAGGCCUUCGGGUUGUAAAGCACUUUCAGCGGGGAGGCGUUACCCGAAGAAGAAGCACCGGCUAACUCCGUGCCAGCAGCCGCGGUAAUAC
rnacentral:rRNA from 1 species